rnacentral:rRNA from 1 species
AAAGCUCUAGAGAUAGAGUGGAGGUUUAUCCGGGAUACAGGUGGUGCAUGGUUGUCGUCAGCUCGUGUCGUGAGAUGUUGGUUAAGUCCCGCAACGAGCGCAACCCUUGUCUUUAGUUACCAUCAUUCAGUUGGGGACGUCUAGAGAGACUGCCGGUGAUAACCGGAGGAAGGUGGGGAUGACGUCAAAUCAUCAUGCCCCUUAUGGCCUGGGCUACAAACGUAAUACAAUGGCGUAUACAAAGGGAUGCGAAAGGGCGACCUGGAGCAAAACUCACAAAGUACGUCUCAGUUCAGAUUGGAGUCUGCAACUCGACUCCAUGAAGGCGGAAUCGCUAGUAAUCGCGGAUCAGCAUGCCGCGGUGAAUACGUUCUCGGGGUUU